UGAAAAUACUGAGUGCAAAAUAAAAUAUAUAUAGGUCUGUGUUUAUUGUUUACAUUUCAUCUACUUCCGGACCCGGUGUGUCCUAAAUUUACUGAAGAAAUGGUUGAAGACUAGAUCUACAUCUAGUUCUAGACAUAGAUCUCUAGAUCUACUGAUCUAGUAGUCUAGGUCUAGAUAUUAGAAUUAGAUCUAUUCUUAGAAUCUACCUCCAAGAAUGAAAUCAGCUCAGCCUUGAGUUGGACAACAUGCUUUAACACUUUUCCCCUGGAGAGCCAACAAACGUUGGUGUGAUACAGGAGACAUUAGUAGUCUGAAUCCAUUGCUUCACAAAGCUCUGAGGAAAGUCAGAAUGCAAGCGGUCGAGAUUUGAGGAAGUUUACAACUUCAAUCACUUGAUCCAGAACAGACAUCAAAUAUUUGAAGGCAAGAGCUUCUCUGUGGAUUAUGCAGUGAACAACUAAUACAUUUGGAUUUUCUUGACGCACAAGAGUGAAGAAUCCCUUUCUAUUUCCCUGCAUGGAAGGACAGCCAUCGGUGCAAACGCUGACACAGUUUGUCUCCACUGUACUUUGAAUAGCAAAAUGUUUUCGUUCACCACUUAAAAAUCUUCGCCUUUGGUCGUAGUUGGGCACAACAUAAUGAGGCAACACUUAUUCUGGAUGUUGAAACUAGUGAAAAGAACAUGUGGCCUUGUUUUAUCAUGAGGCCCAUACAAAAUACUGGCCCCCAACAGUCCUUCAGAAUAAAGAUUGUAUGGAAAGCUUCCUGAUCUGAAAAGAAUGGAGUUCAUCUUCAAUAAAUAUAUAUAUAUCUGAACCCUACAAUUUAUAAUGAGAACACAGAGAAAAAAAAACACAAACAGGAUGUAAUAUUUAAGUUAAACUUUUGUCACACAGUCUCAUAUUUGUUUAUAUUGACUUUAAUAUUCACAUUUAUUCAAAUAAAAUAGCUGUAUAUUUUAUGCAUUUAUCCUUAAAAUGUGGCGCACUAUUGGCCACUAGUUCAAAUGUUUGAUGUGUUUAAGGCUAUAUAAGGUUAUAACUAUUCCUUUGGCUCACAUUGAAUUAAAAUCAUACAUU